GAGAGCUGGGCUUCGAGGCGUCAGUGUGAAGGGAAGGCUAAGGACGCAUCGGUGCUGGAGAGUUGAGAAUAUGCCUUCCCCUCCACCCCCAACCCAGUCACCUUAUUUGAAAAAAAAUUAAAAAACACCUUUUAUUUAAAAACCUAACCCUGGAAGUUUGCUCGCUGACAUCAGGGGAGCAACGUGAACACAGGAAAAUGGAAAUCAACAUUUGAAACUUUUAAAUGGAAGCUUUAUUGGGGUUCCACAUAUGGAAAACUGCAAAUAGCAGAAGUAUGUGACUCAAUAAAUUAUUCUGGAGUGACCACAUCCUCUAACUGCCUCCCAGGACAAGACGGAGAAUGUGAACAAUGCUCCUGAAGGCCCCUUUCCCUCAAAGAAUCACUGCAAUUGAAGGAAAAAUGCUCCAUGUCCCCUCUGCCAGUUGGUGUUUAUCAAAGGACAACGGAGGAAGAGAGACAAAGUGCCUGGAUGUGUGUGUUAAUCAAGAGUUGUCAGGACCCUGCCUCUAAAAGAAAGCGCUAAAAUGAUGCUUUUGACAAGACUUUUCUCAAAGUGGAUGCAGUCUAAGGGUUGGAAAACAAGGCCCAAUCAGGCUAGGUCUGACUUGUCGCCUGCUUUUGUAAAUAAAGUUUUAUUGGCUCACAGACACACUUA
rnacentral:lncRNA from 10 species